rnacentral:misc_RNA from 1 species
UUAAUUUUUUUUGAUGUUUUUUUAUGGUUUGAUAGUUUAUUUUUUUUUUAAAUAAAAUAAUGUAAAAUAAUAAAAAAUAAAAUAAAGUUUUUUAGGAUGAAAUAAGAUUAACGAUGGUUUAUUAAUCUCUUCUCUUGCGAUAUUUUAAAAAAUACUCAAAAAUCUUACUUUCUUCCUAAAACCUCACUUCUAAAUAAAUCCACGUAUCUUAAUUACAUUAAACAAACUUAACCAACCUCCAAAAACUUCUCCCAAACGAAGUGUUAGGAUUCUGUGAUUUCUUUCAUUACCAUCACCUUCUUCUUGCUCAGUCGAGAAAAGUUACACUAACAUCCAUUUUCCCUCGCGUGGCAUUCACUCUGCCCUCGAGCUGCUUAGUCGACGUUGUGCAAUGCGACUCUCCUGAACCGAAGAUAUCAUCGGAAUCUCGCCACUUUCUUCAAAAUCUCACUUUUUCGAUUAUCAAGAGAAAAAGGGGGGCGCUGUUCCAACCAAGUCUAUUAUAUUUUUGCUCACAAUCCUUUCAAGUUCAUCAAGUUGAUAUUUUUGCUGUUUUAAUCUGAAUAUGGCUGAUUCAGGUGAAUCUCAACAGCCUGCACUAGGUAUAUCUCUCUCAUUCUUAAAACUCAUCUUUAUAGUUGGUUUUCUUUUGUUUAUUCCCUUUGUCAUUGUUGUAUUUCUUUGCUAUCAGCAGCAACGUUUUAUGUCUUUGGCAUUUGCAGUGUGUAACUUCUUCAGAAAGCCAUUCAGGAACGAUUCAAAAGCUGAAAGCUCGUUGCUGCACAAUCAGAAAAAAGCCCCAAAACCUGACAAUAAGUUGUACUUUUCUACUGGACCUUCCAAGAGUUUUGUGUCCACUGAAUCAAAUGUUGAAUCUAAUCGAUCAAUAUUUCAAUUUGAGUCUUCAAAGGAAAUUCAAGUUCAACAUGAUAAUAAAGCAACAGCAACUCUAGAAACUGAGACUCAGUUCUCAAAAGAUGCUUGGGCCAUUCGUGAGAGAGCUCUUAAGCAAGCAGAGGACUAGAGGAGGCUUUGAAGAAUGAAAAUCCAAGCUCUGAUAAAGAAAAGUUGUAUAAAGGAAUUCAUGGAUAUACUGAUCAUAAAGCUGGGUUUCAAAGAGAGCAAACAAUAUCAAGUGAAAAAGCAGGUGGAGCUCAUGGGCCUCUUAGGGCCUCUGCUCACAUUAGGGUGUCAGCAAGGUUUGAUUAUCGGCCAAACAUUUGCAAGGAUUACAAAGAAACCGGUUACUGUGGGUAUGGAGAUGCAUGUAAGUUCAUGCAUGAUGGAGGGGAUUAUAAGCCUGGUUGGCAGCUGGAAAAGGAGUGGAAGAGGCAGAGAAGAUAAGGAAGAGAAAUUUGGCUUUGAGGGAGGAUGAGGAUGGUGUAGAACAGAGCAAU